UAGUUUUAACUGUCCAAGAGUAUGCCAAGUGUUCUAAUGCAUCAGUUUCUGAGAACCUUCCAGUGGCAACGUUCUGUACCAACAGCGAAGCAGAAGGGGUGCGUAUAGUUUUAGAAGGAUACUUUGCUAAUACUAUCCCAGACAAGGUUUGUUCAUGUGUAGCACAGAGAGGUCAAGCACAGAAGAUUGUAUUCUCGAAUGUCAACUUCCUUCAAUCUCCUAUUCAGGGUGGUUACUGGUGUGGAAGUAAGAUUAUCGCCAAACAAGACAAUGGACCGAGUAACCAUAUGUCGUGUAGAGUAGUAGGAUCAUUGGAUCUUCAGGAUAAUAAUCUUAUACAGAUAAGCCUAUGAAAGGAAUUACUACCCAAAGAUACCAGAUAUUGUGCACUGGUAUAUUUUGACACCGACGAACCCAUAAAAAUAUCCUGCUUUUCAAACUAUGUAACAACAACUUCAGUAGACGAAA